UUUACUGGAUAAAUUAGGCAUACCUUUGUUCUAAUGAAGUGCGCCACUUCCUGCAUCAAUUCCAGCAUCGUCAUAGGUGUGUACCAGCAGAAAAAGAAAACCAAAACCCCAAAAAUUAUACCUAAACCCAUACAAACCCAAAAAGUGCAUCUAAAAAUCAAAAUUUGAAAAUUAUCCAAUGACUGACCUAAACUGAAUGUGUAAAAUUGUCGUUGGAAUUUUCUCUGCUCCCCUUUCUGUAUGAACCGUAAAUUUUUGCGAGGGAUGAAUAUCGAUGGAGCCGUAUGUGUACAAAGUGCAAACCUGUGUAUGUUUUAGUCUCCACUUCUCCAACUUCUCUCUCAGUUACCACAAAUUUUCUCUUUGCACGAACAGGGCUAGCUGGUAUACGUAGAGGAAAACUAAACUGCUCUUGCAUGUGGAUCAAUCAACUGAUAAGAACGUCCUAUGCACAAUGUAUACAACGUGUGAGGGGUAAUAAACGAUAACUGCAAAUCAGUGUUUGAAGGAAACUGAAACUGUUCCACAUUCCUAAUUUACUGUUUUACCCUCUAUUUAUUAUAUUAAGCUUUUGCUAACUUAUAUCAAGAAAUGGGUAAUUCAGGGUUAUUAAAAAUUAAACCAAAUGACAGUUUUAUAAGGCAAAUUGUCUUAAUUAAUAGAGAUUAUAUUAAAGGGAAAAGUCAAUGAUCAGUCUGCAAGCUAAAGAUUUCAAGUGAUAUGGAAAUGCAAGACAGCCCCUAUCUAGAGUUAUUUAUCUAAUCAGUAUUUCCCAUCUAGAGGCAGUUAUGAUUUUAACCAAAGUACAGCACCUUGCUUAAAUGAGUAGCACCCAUGUCCUUGUCAAAAGGAUAUACCUAAAAAACAAUUUGUCAGUGUAAAUUGCAGAUGCAGAUAAACAUAUAAAUCUAUUUAAGUAGUGCAUGUGCAAGAAACAGGCUCAACUAAAGUCAAUGACACCAUGUGAUCGGAUCAAUUAGGUCAUCAAGGGAUUUGCCGAUCCACAAGCAUAAAGUUAGGGACCAUGACACUUCAAGAAAAUAAGAACACCCCCGAAAAGUAAGUAAAAAUUUACAUUUUACCAUCUAUCUGUGGAAAACUUAUAUUUUGUGAGAUUUUGAGUCUAAAUAGCAGGAGUUCAACACAGUAACAUCAAACAAUAGGCCCAGUAAGGAGGUCACUUCAAAUAAAGACUUAUGGGACUUGGUUAAAUCCUCUAUAACUUGGGAAUUACAAGUUUACUCAUUCAAAAAAAAAAAAAAAACAACAACAACAACAGCAAAUCAGGUUCACAUAGCCAUCACACCAUGUUUGCUAAGUUUAACCAGAUAUCUCCCUUUAUAAUCAAAGUUCUCACUGAGAAUUGGAUGAAUUUCUUUCCGGAGCUAUGACUCCAUGGCCUUUUGACAGAGGACUAUAUUUAAGACCUUUUCACCAAAAACCUCAAUACUAAAAAGUUCUUUUUUCACCCCCAGAAAUUUGAAAAUUCCGCUUCAUAGACCCAGGGUCGAAUCUGGUCCUUUAGCUGAGCCUUACGAUUUUAGGAGGCAGGAAACUCUACCCAGAUCACAUUUGAGAAAAACAAAGGCCUCACCAUUCCUACUCACUCAUUGAUCUGAUACUUUAAUCCCCUGAAAAACCCAACUUUAAAAUCUCAUUUGCUUCCCAUAAUCAAAGCUUGACCCUAGCACAGCCAUAAAUUUUGUAACAAUACCCUGUCAUAUGCAAACAACUAAUAAAUCUACAACGAAUACUAAUCAUGUACUAUUCCUUCUUAUUUAUCUGUCAAGCUUUAAACUUUUUCCUGAUAAAUUCUUAUAAACUAUAUUAAUGAAGCAAACAACAAAACGGAAUUAAAGAUUGAAAGUAGAGAAAUAGGAAGAGGAACGAGCACUUGUCAUGCAUGACUAAAACUAAACUACACCGCAUUCUACCAAACUACACCACAUUCUCCCAAUAACAACCAUCAAGCACUUGUCAACCAAACCCAGAAAAAGAAGUUAUAUGAAUAUGGAAACCAGCUGAAUAGAUGACACGACCCAUCCCAAAUUUCACCCUGAAACCCGGAGUAAGUCGUGCGGGGACCACCUCCAAGGAAAAUUUACUGAAAAGAUUAAGCAAAUCUCCCUUGCAGAUGGACAACCCUAACUCGAAAAUUUCAUAUUACACUCUUAAUUCAACACUUCCGAACAUCACAUAAUCAUCCUUCAGAAAUUCUACACAUAAUAUACAAUAAUCCCAAAGUAUUUAGAGCUACUAAACACAAGCGGAAGAAAGAAAACACAAGUAGGUUGAACAGGUAACCUACUGACGAAAACUGGCAGAAAUGCGGGUGACUAUGCCUCGUCUCCUACUAGAUCCAACCCGAACUCUGUAGACUGGGCAAUUUAAAACGAAGGGCCCAGGGGAAAACAUUUAAUAACGUUAGAGUGAGUGGACAAAAAUAAAAUAAUAAAUAAAAUAUUUAUGUUUCCCCAAAUUAAUUUCUAAGGAAAAAUCGAAUGCAUGCCGCAAGCGAUAAAACUUUUAUCCCAUAAAAUAUCGAGCCUCUCAGACUCUAUAAUAUAUAUAUGUAUUUACACUCGUCCAUACUCCCUAUAUAAAUUCAUGGGUCUAUAUAGGGCUACUACGCUCGCGUCCAACGCUCACGUCACGCCUUAAUGCGGUGCUACACUACGCCAUCAAGGUGGACAGACGGGUGUAUAAAUAUGUGUCCAUACCCCCUAUAUGAAUUAAACACUCAAAUAGGGCUACUACGCUUACGUCCAACGCUCACGUCACACCAUAAUGCGGCUAUAUGCUACGCCAUUAAGGUGGACAGACACAUAUGGCUAGCUAGCAUUUAUAUACAUACUCUCUCAUAAUUACAUGUUUAUAUCCACCGAAAAUCCCAUUUUCGGUAUCUCUCCAAGAGAAAUAAAAAUCGUCAAAAAUUAAAAUGACGUCAAAAUACUCCACGACAUUAAUUGUUCAACCAUGAACUAUAGCAUGCAUUUAUUUAAAAUAAACGUCCACUCACAAAUUUGGCCUAAGCCUGAUGUCGAUCUGGGGCCUCGUCUGCUCGAGCCUCCUCACGUCCUGUUCCAAAUAUAAUAUUAAUUUCCCAACCAAUAAUCCAAUAUUUAAUCAAAAUAGGCAAAAUUACCCGAGAGCCAUAAAUACGCUCAUCAUUGCCUAACUUCGAUAUUCUUAAAUCGGAAUGAUCCGAACUUAAAUAUCAUACUCAACAGUCGUAAAUACAACCUCCCCAAAAUACGACUUAAAUCCUUCGGCCGGAUUCUACAUUAAUUAACCGCCAAAAAUCCAAACUUCGGAAAUUCACAAACCUAUCCAAAUCUCAUCCAAAAAUUCCAUAAAUCACAUCAAUAAACUCCUCUUAAUAUUCCACACUUAAAACCCUAAAAAUCUCCUAACCGGCGGCGACGCCGCCGGCAGUGGCGGCCGGAGGCCAAUUCCGGCGACCUCCAAAACCUAUGAAAUUUUGACAGAAUAAUCCUCUCAUCAAGCUCUACAACUUUCAUAACUAGCACAAACACCAAUUCCAAGCCUAACUAGGGCAAUCGACUAAAAACAUCCAUAAAUCCCUAAAACUUUCAAUUAUACAAACCACCCUAACGAAAUCGAAUUUAGCCGAAACCUUUCGAGGGAUUACUCACCUAGAUGAGGGCUACAAGUUGAGCCAAAAAUCACGACCUAUGGUGGCCGGAAGACGGAGCUCCGGCGAAAAACCCUUUCCGGCAGUCGAACCUUUCGGGGUUGACCGCUCCUUCACGGCGGCGUUCCGCACGCGUGCACCGGUCCAGGAUGAGAGAGGAAGAGGCAAGGGUCCGAACGGGACCAGUUUGGCGGUCGGUGGUGGCCGGACGGCGGCGGACGGCGGUGGUGAAGUUUCUGGGCGGAGGGAGAAGAAAAUCGGGUGGGAGGAGAGAUAGGGAUACUGCUGCAUCAUUUGCUUCUCUGAUUCCCAAGUAGCUUCUUCUACUUGAUGACUCCUCCAAAGCACCUUGACAAGCGGGAUUGUCUUGUUUCUAAGCACUUGCUCCUUUCGGUCGAGAAUCUGAACCGGUUCCUCUUCAUAGGACAAGUCUCUCGUCAAACUAAUCGGCUGCUCUUGCAGCACAUGAGAAAGAUCGGCAAUAUACUUGCGAAGCAUGGAUACAUGAAACACAUUAUGUAUCCUAGCUAACUCUGGAGGUAAGGCUAAUCGAUAAGCAAGUGAACCAACUCGCUCUAUUAUCUCAUAUGGGCCAAUAUACUUCGGGCUAAGCUUCCCACGCUUCCCAAAGCGCACAACCCCUUUCCAAGGAGAUAAUUUCAGGAACACCCAAUCACCCACUCGAAAUUCAAGAUCUCUCCUACGGACAUCUGCAUAACUCUUNNNNNNNNNNNNNNNNNNNNCCGCCGCGGUCGGAUCAUCACUCUAUAGACACUACGUGCUACUUAGGCAAAUAUGAUAAUGACAAGGAAGCAGGAAAAGGAAACCUAUAGCUCUGAUACCAACUGGACACGACCCACCCCGAAUUUCACCCUGAAACCCGGAGUAAGUCGUGCGGGGACCACCUCCAAGGAAAAUUUACUGAAAAGAUUAAGCAAAUCUCCCUUGCAGAUGGACAACCCUAACUCGAAAAUUUCAUAUUACACUCUUAAUUCAACACUUCCGAACAUCACAUAAUCAUCCUUCAGAAAUUCUACACAUAAUAUACAAUAAUCCCAAAGUAUUUAGAGCUACUAAACACAAGCGGAAGAAAGAAAACACGAGUAGGUUGAACAGGUAACCUACUGACGAAAACUGGCAGAAAUACGGGUGACUAUGCCUCGUCUCCUACUAGAUCCAACCCGAACUCUGCAGACUGGGCAAUUUAAAACGAAGGGCCCAGGGGAAAACAUUUAAUAACGUUAGAGUGAGUGGACAAAAAUAAAAUAA
rnacentral:lncRNA from 1 species